UGUGUAGAAUAAAUAGAACUUUAUUCUUUAUCCAGUAGAUCUCAGUGGAAAGCCCAACAGUAACAGGUGCACCCACGGGCUCCAGGGGAAGGGGCCCCAACCCCUGGUGAAGGAGGUCGGGGCAGAGCCAGCUCCCCCAGCUGGGGGUGCAGGGGUGAGGGGAGACCCCCCUGUAGGCCCGUCCUGCGGGGUAAGGAGGGGGCACGGGGGUGGGACAGGUUGGGGGUGGGGGGCAGGCCAGGGAAAUGGAGGAACUCGGGCCAAGUGUGUGUCGGCCCAUCUACUGUCCAGUGUGUGUGUGUUUGUGUGUGUGCGCACGCGCAUGUGUGUGGUGUCUGGGGGCCCUAUGGGGGUGCUGGUGGCUGAGGAGGAGAACUGGGGGGCACAGGGACAUGAAAGGAGAGUGGGGGCCCCUUCCGAGCCACUCCCUCCCCCGGACCCACCCCCUCCAGCUCUGGAUCCAGCUCCCCCCAAUACACAGCACAAAUUCCUUCAGUAUAAAUGUGCUUAAAAUGAAAAUUCUUAUUAAAAAAAUCAAAACAAAAAAAUUAAAAUAAAAACAAAACCAG
rnacentral:lncRNA from 10 species